rnacentral:rRNA from 1 species
CGACGUGAGUAACCUGCCUUGGAGUGGGGAAUAACAGCUGGAAACAGCUGCUAAUACCGCAUAAUAUAUCUGGGUCGCAUGGCUCUGGAUAUCAAAGAUUUAUCGCUCUGAGAUGGACUCGCGUCUGAUUAGCUGGUUGGCGGGGUAACGGCCCACCAAGGCGACGAUCAGUAGCCGGACUGAGAGGUUGGCCGGCCACAUUGGGACUGAGACACGGCCCAGACUCCUACGGGAGGCAGCAG